CAGAGUCUGGACACUGGGGGUCAGCGCUGAGUCACCGCAGGUUACACUGACGUGGAUCCCACUGCUGUCUGAUCUAAUUUUAUGACUGUGCGAGGCGCCACCGAGGGCCUGACUCAGCACGGACACCUGGCCGCUACCUGAGAGUCAAAAACAUCAGAGAUGGAAAAAGACAGUCAGAAAAAAAGCUGGAGGACACUUGGGCAGAAUAUUUGGCCAUGAGGAAGUAUGAGGGGAGAAGACGGCUAUCCUGGCCUCCACGGCCCGCACGGCCAAUCGUUGCUUCCAGUCCUUCUGA